CAGUCGCCGCGGGAAUACGUAGGUCCCGAGCGUUGUCCGGAUUUAUUGGGCGUAAAGCGAGCGCAGGCGGUUAGAUAAGUCUGAAGUUAAAGGCUGUGGCUUAACCAUAGUACGCUUUGGAAACUGUUUAACUUGAGUGCAAGAGGGGAGAGUGGAGUUCCAUGUGUAGCGGUGAAAUGCGUAGAUAUAUGGAGGAACACCGGUGGCGAAAGCGGCCCUCUGGCUUGUAACUGACGCUGAGGCUCGAAAGCGUGGGGAGCAAACAGGAUUAGAUACCCCCGUAGUCCCUGUCUCUUAUACA
rnacentral:rRNA from 1 species